rnacentral:rRNA from 1 species
UACGGAAGGUGCAAGCGUUGUUCGGAAUCACUGGGCUUAAAGCGUGUGUAGGCGGAUCGUUAAGUGUCUUGUGAAAUCCCACGGCUCACCCGUGGAACUGCUGGGCAUACUGGCGAUCUUGGGCCAACUAGGGGCAGCCGGAACAAGCGGUGGAGCGGUGAAAUGCGUAGAUAUCGCUUGGAACGCCGAAGGUGAAAACAGGCUGCUGGGGUUGCGCCGACGCUGAGACACGAAAGCCAGGGGAGCAAACGGG